CUUAGGGAAGCCAUCAGUAUAUGAGGAUGAGGAGUAAUGAUCUGUAUUUAUGGCUAGUCUACUUUCUAGAAGACGUCUGAUGUAAUGAAGAACCCAUUAAAUAUGUCCAAGUAUCAAGAAAAUUUCAAGUGAAGCUAGGUGCAUAGAGAUGGAUAUAGAAGCUCUUCUUUAAAUACAACCCAACUGCAAAACCUAAUAGUGCCGGAUGACCCUGAUAACUUCCUUGACUGCUGCAAAUGGUCCGAUGUCUACUGCAAUAACUCCACAGGUCGAAUUCACAGGCUUGAUUUUGAUGAAUUUAUGUCUGGUUGUGAAGACAGUGAUAGGUUUUUGAUGCAGCGGUUCCAUUUAUGCCCUUCACUGCUUGUCCUGGAGGACUUGCUCUACCUACUUACCUAGACCUCAGUGAGAUAUCCGUCGAUCACUCCUCAGCUUGGCGUAUCCCUGUCUUCCUAGGUCCU